rnacentral:ncRNA from 1 species
GUGUUGUAUGAAAGGGGAUAAGGUCCGCACUCCCACUGACAAGGAUGGAAGAGGCCCUUGGAGAUUAAAAAAAAAUGCAUACAUUUAAGGCAUUGCCGCCAACUGCAUGGCAUCAAAACAUUUUUAA